ensembl:snoRNA U3 Small nucleolar RNA U3
AAGACUAUACUUUCAGGGAUUGUUUCCAUAGCUCACUACUAGAGAAGUUUCUCUGACUGUGUAGAGACCGGGAACCACAAGGAGGAGGCGAAGUGUUCUCUCCUGAGCGUGAAGCUGGCUCUUGGUGUUGCUUUCCUGCAACCAUUCCUGCCAUUGGUGAUGGUUUCUGCUCUUCUUCGAGGAAGCUGAAAGGGAGGACUCAAUCUGAGUGGC